UAUGCGUGAUCAUAUCAUUCUACAGCCUGGAACCUCUGGGCUCAAGCAGUCUUCCUGCCUCAACCACCCAAGUAACUGGGACUAUAGCCAAGUCUGAUCCUGAAGCUAAGGCAUAAUCGACUGAAUUCCAGACAUGGCAAGACAGAAUAGAAGCUGGCCUUUUAAUUUUCCUCUUCUGAAGAUGUGAACUACAUAAACAUACUCAAGCUCAUCUUCAAUGUCCUCAGCACUCAACCAGAUUAAGACCUUUGGCAUCAUCUGUCAAUAAGUUAUAUUUAAAAUAAAAUGAAAUCUAAUUA